AACGAACGCUGGCGGCAUGCCUAACACAUGCAAGUCGAACGAGACCUUCGGGUCUAGUGGCGCACGGGUGCGUAACGCGUGGGAACCUGCCCUUAGGUACGGAAUAACUCCCCGAAAGGGGUGCUAAUACCGGAUAAUGUCUUCGGACCAAAGAUUUAUCGCCUUUGGAUGGGCCCGCGUUGGAUUAGCUAGUUGGUAGGGUAAAAGCCUACCAAGGCGACGAUCCAUAGCUGGUCUGAGAGGAUGAUCAGCCACACUGGGACUGAGACACGGCCCAGACUCCUACGGGAGGCAGCAGUGGGGAAUAUUGGACAAUGGGCGAAAGCCUGAUCCAGCAAUGCCGCGUGAGUGAUGAAGGCCUUAGGGUUGUAAAGCUCUUUUACCCGGGAUGAUAAUGACAGUACCGGGAGAAUAAGCGUCGGCUAACUCCGUG
rnacentral:rRNA from 1 species